GACGAACGCUGGCGGCGUGCUUAACACAUGCAAGUCGAACGGAAAGGCCCUGCUGUUGUGGGGUGCUCGAGUGGCGAACGGGUGAGUAACACGUGAGUAACCUGCCCUUGACUUUGGGAUAACUUCAGGAAACUGGGGCUAAUACCGGAUAGGAGCUCCUGCUGCAUGGUGGGGGUUGGAAAGUUUCGGCGGUUGGGGAUGGACUCGCGGCUUAUCAGCUUGUUGGUGGGGUAGUGGCUUACCAAGGCUUUGACGGGUAGCCGGCCUGAGAGGGUGACCGGCCACAUUGGGACUGAGAUACGGCCCAGACUGCUACGGGAGGCAGCAGUGGGGAAUAUUGCACAAUGGGCGGAAGCCUGAUGCAGAAACGCCGCGUGCGGGAUGACGGCCUUCGGGUUGUAAACCGCUUUAGCCUGUGACGAAGCGUGAGUGACGGUAAUGGGUAAAGAAGCACCGGCUAACUACGUG
rnacentral:rRNA from 1 species